rnacentral:rRNA from 1 species
AGUGAACGCUGGCGGUAGGCCUAACACAUGCAAGUCGAACGGCAGCACAGUAAGAGCUUGCUCUUACGGGUGGCGAGUGGCGGACGGGUGAGGAAUACAUCGGAAUCUACUUUUUCGUGGGGGAUAACGUAGGGAAACUUACGCUAAUACCGCAUACGACCUACGGGUGAAAGCAGUGGAUCUUCGGACCUUGCGCGAUUGAAUGAGCCGAUGUCGGAUUAGCUAGUUGGCGGGUGAAAGGCCCACCAAGGGGACGAUCCGUAGCUGGUCUGAGAGGAUGAUCAGCCACACUGGAACUGAGACACGGUCCAGACUCCUACGGGAGGCAGCAGUGGGGAAUAUUGGACAAUGGGCGCAAGCCUGAUCCAGCCAUACCGCGUGGGUGAAGAAGGCCUUCGGGUUGUAAAGCCCUUUUGUUGGGAAAGAAAAGCAGCAGGUUAAUACCCCGCUGUUCUGACGGUACCCAAAGAAUAAGCACCGGCUAACUUCGUG